UACGUAGGGUGCGAGCGUUACUCGGAAUUACUGGGCGUAAAGCGUGCGCAGGCGGUCUUUUUAGCCAGACGUGAAAUCCCCGGGCUUAACCUGGGAAUGGCGUUUGGGACUGGAAGUCUGGAGUGCGGCAGAGGAGACUGGAAUUCCUGGUGUAGCAGUGAAAUGCGUAGAUAUCAGGAGGAACACCGAUGGCGAAGGCAGGUCUCUGGGCUGACACUGACGCUCAUGCACGAAAGCGUGGGGAGCAAACAGG
rnacentral:rRNA from 1 species